UCUUGAACACCGCUUGCCAGGCUACACUCAACUCUAAUUUUUAUGAGAAAGCCUGGCAAGCGGUGUUCAAGAGCAGAAACAUAACCAUGAACAUGACAGCCGCUGAGAUUUUUUGAAUUGAAGUUGCCUUUUCUUGCUUCUAGCUAUAUUGCUUCUCAAGAACCAGUCCAGAAGUGUUUCUAUAGCCUUCAGGAUGCUAAAACAAGAAAAAGGAAAAGAAUAGAUAAAUGAUGGCGAAGAAAGCAAAGUGCUAAUCAACUUAUAUACAGAGGUUUAGGAGACAUUGUGGGUUUGUCUGGGUCGCUAUUUCCAGCCACUUACUGCAGCCAACCAGCUACUGUUCAGUUUUGAAGCUCCUCAACAGCUUGAAUGUGAGUUGAAAAGUUUCCUUUUUUAAUUAAAUUAGAAUUGUCAAAGAAGGCUUAGAUGUGAAAAGAUAUAUUUAAAAAAUUUAGGAGUGUUAAUAGGUUUUUUGAAAAAAUUAGGAAUGUAAAUUUAUGAGUAAAAAGAAGUAUUUUGACGCAGCGUGAAGUUCAAAUAGAAACAC
rnacentral:misc_RNA from 1 species